UACGUAGGGGGCAAGCGUUGUCCGGAAUCAUUGGGCGUAAAGCGCGUGUAGGCGGCUGGGCAAGUCCGCUCUGAAAGCCCGAGGCUCAACCUCGGGAGGCGAGUGGAUACUGCUCAGCUCGAGUCCGGAAGAGGAGUGUGGAAUUCCCGGUGUAGCGGUGAAAUGUGUAGAGAUCGGGAGGAACACCGGUGGCGAAGGCGGGUCUCUGGGCAAUUCCUGACGCUGAGGCGCGAAAGCGUGGGGAGCAAACGGG
rnacentral:rRNA from 1 species